AAUUCUCAACCUCACCAACUUUGUGUUGUGUGAAGGCUUGGAUGUGGGGGUUUGCAGGUCCGCGUACGUGGUCUGCUCCUCUGAAAUGUAUUAGUGGGUUUGGUCCCCUAAUCUAUUGGUGUGAUAAUUAUCUACGCCGUGGAUUGGGAAGGCCGUCUAUAGACUCGCUUCUAACCGUCCUCACGGACAAUCAUUGACAA
rnacentral:misc_RNA from 1 species